ensembl:snRNA U6 U6 spliceosomal RNA
GUGCUCCCUUCAGCAGCACAUAUACUAAGACUGGAACAAUAGAGAGAAGAUGAGUAUGGCCUCUGUGCCAAGCAUGACAUGCCAAUUCAUGAAGCAUUCCAUAUUUUU